GCAAUGUGAUUGCUUUCUUUUUUAUGUCGCAAACUCGUUCUAUUUGAUUUUGAUGUGAAUUUCUCUUUUGUAUACGAGGGUCACGAGGAAGUCUAACACGUGAGAAAAAAGAGAUGGGCGAGAGAGUAAAAUCACUAGUAGCACGAGGAGAGGAUGCGAUACCGAGAGAGACUGAGGUACGACAACGUUUCCUUGCUAUCACUUGGCUCGGUUGCCUCCACCUUCACGCGAGCAUAACAGGCGUGCUCGAUCCGCUUUUCUGCGAGCAGAGGGGCAGCCCAAAGCUUGGUGUCCUCAACUAUCAACCCACACUGUGCUUAUAAACAACUAAGAAGUUAAGAGGAAGGUGCAAUGACGCCACUCAAGAAGACGAAGAAGUCAUGAUGUUCGUUGUCCUCGCUGAUGAAGCGUGUCUUUGGCCAUCAGUGGGAGUUCAAGAUCUAGUUCAGAAAGUAUUCGAAGAAUCAAUGAGUAAACAGUAGAAAAUUAUCUUCUUAAUGAGGUGUUUACCGACUACUAGCAUAAAUUAUGUCAAAUUAAUAUGUGAUGACGAUGUCAAAAAUUACUAAUGAUCUAACAUACUUUGUGGAAUAAAUUAGAUACGUGAGAUACUUUGAAAUUCUUACAAGGAAUAAAUAUUGAUGAGAUUGAAAUGUACUUAAAAAGUAAUUAAACGUAAACAAUUAGAGCAACAAAUGGAAUCAUUAUCGUCGAUAAAAUGCAAUGAAUCUUACACAAUGAUCUAGAAAACCUUUAGAAGAAACAAAUUCUAAGAAAUAAAAUUUCUCUACAAGUUUCCGGGGAAACCCAUUGAUGUUCUCUUAUUCAAACUAUGACUAAUUAGUAUAUUUUGCUGAUUAAAAAGUAAUUAAUCAAACCAAUUGAGUGAUGAAAGUGCGUAGAGUAGAGGAUUAAAUGUUUCAAAAGAGUUUUAAUCAUUCAUAGAACAAAAGCGGAAGUUUACGGGAAAUCUUAAAGAUUAUACAGGAAAAAGGGAUUUGCGAUGUUAUCCGCUAGAUUUGCAAGACGCGUGGGAGUGUGCUCGAUUCUCGUUGCAUUUUAUUUUGUUCUUAAAACAAAGGCUACGACGCUGUAAGCGAAAACCCACGAGUUGACUUGUAUAUAGGUAAUUGUACACGUAC